CUGGGCCUAGAAAGUACAUGUCUGCUGUGUAGGAGUGAGAGGCCCAGCACCAGGCUCUGCUCCUCUUGGGCCCGAUGAUAAGUGGUGAUACUGAGACCUGCUGCCCACACCUGCCUCCCAGACUGGUUCCCACAGCCUGGGCAGGAAGGCUGAAGGGAGAGAAUCCCAAGGAGAGCACACACCAGCCACAGCAUCCCUGUUGUAGCCUGAGUAAGCAGUGCCCCCUAAAGUUUGGAGUUUGGAGUCUGUAAGAAUGGCUUGGGGGUGCUGUCUGACCUCUAACUUCAUAAGGGGGAAGGAGAACCAAGAUCAACAGCCCAAGGCUGCCUGCCAUGAGGCGGAGGCCAGACAAGCCUCCUCUCUCUGCCAUCUUUACCAAUUCUGACACUAGCCGUCCCUUGCACGGCACUCUCUACUUCUCUGCUGAGUUCAACAUUUCAUUGCAGCGGCCACACGGAACUCACAGCCCACACUCACAAUUAUGGGGUUUAUUAGGGAAGUAACAGAUACAACUCAGUCUCAGGAACACUCAGGAUAAAGCUCUUCCAUCAGGACAGCCUCUCCCUGGUCCUAGGCCUCUGCCCAAAGGCACUCAGUUUUCUCUCUCUGUGGUUUGGGAGGCCCACCGCGUCAUCUCCUGCUGCCCGGUCUCUCUUGCCACCACUUCUCACCAUCUUCAGGGUUACAGCUGGCUCACUGGCUCACUCACUCUCUCUCUCUUGCUUGCUCUCUCUCUCUCUGUCUCCUGCUUCCAGGAGCUUCUCAGCACAGGGAUCCGGGGUCCAACGGACAUGCUCUCCACUCCUGGCGUUCUUCCUUGGUGGUGGUAGGAUCCCUCCUCUCUGCUCUGGAAAUGGCUCUCUUUUAAGGCAAAACUGACCAGUUCCCUUGGUGGGCCACAAUUACCUUAUCACACAGUCCCUCCCAAUCACCUGGAUGGGAGUUGGAAGACCACAGCUAGAAAGGCCACACACAGAAGUAAUCUAUCACACAGCAGAGUCGCCGCCUUUUCUCCUGGUCCAGGGACUGGAGCCAGCUCAUAUUGCUUGUAAGAGCUAACUGUAAAAUCCUUAGGGAUUGUGUAAAACAGUAGUUAAACACAGCCAUUAUUAAAAAGUUAGAUUAUAACAACUUACAGGAAAAUAGAUUAUAUUAAAAAACAAAGGGAAUAAAUGCUCAAAACUUAACAAAAAAUAAAAAAACCAACCACGGCCAUUGAGUCUAUUCCGACUCAUAGUGACCCUAUAGGACAGAGUAGAACUGCCCCAUGGAGUUUCCAAGGAGCAUCUGGUGGAUUCGAACUGUCGACCUUUUGGUUAGCAGCUGAGCUCAUAACUACUGGUGACACCAACCCUAGUGAUGUCUUGGCAGUACCUCCUGCAGUGACGCUGGUCCACCCACCCCCACCGUGGACCCUGGGGUCAUUUGGUGCCACCCUCACACCCCCUUAGUGACACCACUGAUCACCCUGAUGCACCUGGGGCAGAGUUGGGCUAACAUAGAUCUGCAGUGGCUGGCCAGCCCUGGGUUUUCCUCCCCCCUACUGCCUGCUCUGGGGGAGAAGCAGGGAGGAAGAGCAAGAGAAGGGAGGUGCCAUGCCCAGGAAACCAGGGAAGGACCCUUGACCCCACCCAAGGCACAGACCCCACCCAGGGCACAGCCGGUAAAGACUGGCUGGCCUAUUAGGUGGGCAGAACAGAUCUAGGGGCAGUUCAGAGGAGGAAGGCUGGGGCUGAGGAGAAGGUCACAAGACUAGUUCGCAGAAAUGAAAUAAGCAACUGGGUUGAGGAGAAAGUAUAGCAGGCAGGAAGUUCUUGUGAAGUCAGAGAGGGGAAACCACAGAAUUUUGCAUUCUUGUGACCUCAAAAGUGAGGUGAGCCCCGAACAUGGCAGAAGUUGAGCCCACGGAUCUGAGGCUCAGUGAAGGCUCCACCAUUCUGGUACGUCUCCCAGGCCCCUGGCUGUGGCCCCGCCCCGGCUAGUGGGAUAAUAGUGAGGGGGUAGUGAGAACAGGAAGUCGGCAGGACUCAGGCUCCUGAGGGAGAAGCUCCUGGUGCUCCUCCGCCCCUCCCUAAUCCUGGGUUUAAGACAAGAAAUGCAAAUUCACCACCAAUAUUCAGGACUGACCUUCACGCAGGCUGCUCAGAGCUUGGGGAUGAAUACACAUUUUUUAGACAAAGCUUCUAUCCCCUGGGAUGGAAGAAGAGGCUGAUUUUCCUUCAUCAGGAUAUUAAGUCUGCACUCAGAGGUUCUUGGCCCAGAAGCCUUGGCUGAAGCUCCACUAUCAUCCACCAUGCUGCCUCUGUGACCCCCAAGAGGACUGGGGCCUCCUAGCACUUUCUCCACAGUGCCCCACUGAGGGGCCUCUGCUCCUGUUGUCAGGCCUAGGGGAGAAACUGCACUUCCUCACCUCCCUUAGCCCAGUACCUGCCAGGCCUUGGUAAAACCAGGCUGAGGGCAGGCAAGGAGGUGACAGAACUGAGGUCCUGAGAGAGGAUUAAUACCCAAGGCAUCACAGCAGAAGAAGGGGCAGGGCAGAGCCAGGAUGGAAACCAAAUAAACAUCAAGGGCCAGUCUCUGACUUUCAGUCACCCAGGACCCUUCCGCUUCACCCUGCUGCCCUUCUUGUUUUGCCAAGGCUGCCCAGCUCUUCCUGGUUUGGGCCUGAAAAUACGCCUACAACAAAUGGAACUCACAGGAAUCACCUCCACCUCCUCCACACCCACUCUCCUUCAUCUAUCCUCUGACCCAGGAGUGGAAACAGAGCUUGACAGGCCCUCCCAGGCAGGGGCCAGGAGCAGGAGCUGCACAGCCACUCUGAGUCCAAGCUCGCCUAUUGCUCAUGCCCCUUGAUAAGGAGUGGCAGCCAGGUGGGCCUUGAAGAAGGAAGUCAGCACAGGUGUGCUCUGUUUACCUUCCCCACUCACACACAUGACAGGCAACGCCUCGGGUGGCAGGAUAAAGUCCCAGUCUCCUAGCACAGCCCUCAAGACUCCCCUAUUCCGGCCACAAGCUGCCUAUCCAGCACUUGGACCUCAUGCCUUUCCUGCCGUGUCAUACCGUCCCCAGAUCACACUGCUCCCUCUCAGCCUCUGGCUUUAUAGGUGCAGUUCCCUCUGCCUCAGAUGCUCUUCCCUGCUUCACCUGGCAAGCUUCUUCCCAUGGUUAAGACCCAGUUCACAGCUCAUCUCCCAUCUUCUCCUUCUCCCCACCCCACCCCGCCUUGUUCCUCACCUUUCUCUUCAGGGUGCUGCCUGUUUCUGCACCCCUUUUACAGCAUAAUGAAGGAAAUGAGGUCGUGAGUCUGCAUCCCCCAGCAGACUCUCACCUCCUCAGUGAGGACACUGUGUCUCUGUCUUUGAAUUCCUAGAGGACAGCACACAGUCAGUACUCAAUAAAGGAAUGAAUUCCUAAACAAGAUCAGUAGCUGACUGAAUUUAGCCCAGAGUUAAAUUAGGAGGUAAGCCCUCCUGUUACAAAAAGAUGGCCAUCUGACCCAUCCGUUCAUCAGAUAUCGGAGCACUCACUGUGUGCAAAGCACCGAGGCACUGUAUCAACAAAGCGCGGAGCGCAAAGCUGGGGGACACUGGCUCUGCCCUCAAGAAAGUUUACAUUUGGAGGUACAGACAAGACUUCCAAGAAUACUUUUACAAGAAAACAGCUAGCACUUCCUGAGCUUCACAUGGCUUAUCAUAAUCUGAGGCCAGCCUUACAAGGCCGCACUUUCAUUAAUAUUCUCGCCUUACAGACGGAGAGGCUGAGGCUUUCAGAGGGUGAGGAGUCUGUGAUGGCACCACUAGCAAGCAGCAGAGGUACGGUUCGCACCCGGAGUCUCUGGUCCACACGCCCAAGCACAGUGCUCCAGUGGCAGGUGGGGAGCAGUUAAUUGGUUCGGGAAACAGAGAAGGAAAGCGUCACUGAAGAGGGGGCAACUGGGACAAGUCCUGAAGGACAGCAGGAUGUCCACAGAUGCGGAAGGUGGGCAGCACGUCCCAAGCUGCAACAAAGGUCUGGUGUGAGGCUUUUGGGUUUUUUAGUGGUUCUCAAUCUUGGCUGCACACUGAACAUACCCAGCGGGCUUCAGCAAGAACUGAGGCCCAGGCCCCACUCCAGACAUUCCGACUGAGGUAAUCAGGGUGCAGCCUGGCCAUCAGGGGAUUCUAAAGUGUAGCCAAGGUUGGAGAGCCACUGCUGUAAUGGGGACACCUGGUGUAAAGGGGACCGACCUGCAGUCAGCCGCUCCCUGGGUGUGUCAGGGUCCUGUCUGAGGAAAUGGAAGAGCUCUCCUGCCACCUCCCCUUCCAGAAACCCCAGACUGUCCAGACAGCUCUUGUGCUUCCUCCCUCGCAUUCUCGGUGUCUUACCAGUGUGACCUUCCUUUGGCCUGAGUUGCCAAAGCCUCUUUACUGGGGAAAUUCCAGUUUCCAUCAAGGACGUGUGGGCUUUCCAGAAUGUCACCUGGCUUUCAGUAGGAAGCAGCCAAGAUCUAUGGGUCACAGUGAUGAUGGCUGACAUGAAGACCUUGGGUGUGUACUUGUGGCCCGACAUGGGCAGAGGAUUUGCAAAACUACCACACACCCAACAGAACCCAGCAGGCAGGCUCCGAGGGGCAGGGGCGGGGAGAGGGCUCCUGGCUCCACAACUGACUGCCACCCUCAGCACCCUGGACCCCAAGCACUGCCAGCCCUGGGAGGACAGUGAGGAUCCCCCAGGGCCAGCAGAGCCAGGAUGUGUGGUUGCAGCCAGUAAGGCUGGGCUUCCCCUUCUCAGCCCCAGGCAAUGACUCAGGAACAAGUACCGAACAGACUGUGACCUCAGCUUCCUCGCCUACUGGGGAGUGUGACCUCACCCCAGGGCCCUUGUAGGAGCACAGCAGGGGCCCAGAGGGACGAUCGUUGGAAGCGUGGUGUACGUGUUGUGGGGGGAGGGGGGCACAGAGCACUUCCCCAGGAUGUCCCAGAGCCUCCUGUUUCUCACAGAAGUGUGAAUAUCAAAGGAGAUAGUAUAUGUGAACAAUCGGGAUUGGCCCAUAAAGAGCUAUAACCCAUUAGCACCUGCUGUCAUUACAGCCUCGGGCUCUCCUGCCAGAGCCCUAUGGAGGGCCUCGGGGAACGGGAGCUUGCAGAGGAGUGACAGAACCACCA